CAGAGCCCGGGCCGGCAGCCGGCAGAAACGUCUGCUGAGGAAGACACUGUAAAGUGUCAGCAAGGGCGUCUGGGAAUUAAUUUUACCCUAGAGUAGCUGUGCAGGUCUGUUGAGCCCCCAACUCUACAGCUAUGAACACCAGAUAACACUAGAAGCAGUCUGAUGCCUUGAACACCUCAUACGAAGGGGUUUUCAAAAUCUAGCCACAAACAUAUGACCAGAUUUGAAAGAUUUUGAGACGAGGAAGGAGUCUAUUCUGACACAGCCUCACACAGGAGAGAGGGGACUUUCUCGGGCACAGUGGUCUCAUGGCACUAUUGAGAAGAAGCAGUAUGAGAAGGUGAAAAUGGAAGCCACAAAGGUUCUUAAAGCCAAGGCUCCGAAGCUAUGCAGUGUCACAUCAGGAGCAUUCUACAGGUCAAAGCCAGCAUGGGGUCAGCCCAGGUUCAAAAGAGAGGAAACAGACUCCACCUGCUGAGAGGAGCAACAAGUCUCAUCAUAAAAGGCCUGUAAGAUGGGAGAUUUUGUUGUAGCCAUCUUUGGAAAUAACCUGCCACAUCUGACUCUAGUCUUUCUCCUUCCUUCCUUCCUUCCCUACUUCCUCCCUCCCUUCUUCCCUUCCUUCCUUCCCACCUUCUUUCCCUCCCUCCCUUCCAUUCUUCCUCCCUUCCUCCCUUCCAGUUCAUUAAAUUCUUAUAAUCACUAA